UAAAUGUCCUGCAGGUGACUGAAGCUGCUGCAAUUUUAUUGGAGAUUAAAGUUUGAUUGACCUUUGCUGAGGUGAUUAACCCUUUUGAAAUUAAAAGCUGGUGCUAAAUUAUUCUGUCCAAUUUAAAUGCAAACACAGAACAGUAUGCUGUGUCAUUCAAGUGUAAGGGGGAAAAAAAUGUUUUAAUUUUCCUUUUGCACUCAGUGAGCUGUGCUUGCAGACGGCGUGACUGGGCUCUGCUGGAGCUGGCCAGUGGCAUCCUGCCUCCACUCUGCUCAUCACCGCUACAGCAGCCAUACUGCGGGAACGCCAAACCUGGGAGCAGCUGCCUGAAACAAGUCCUCGCAUGCAGGGAUGUCAGCAGAAGCACAUGGAAGCACAUCAGCAAGUCUUCAGAGAGAUGGACUGCUGCUUCUGGGACCCAGUGAAGAAAGUGAGGAAUAGAUAAAAGUUAAACUUGCGGUGGAUUGACCUAAAUGGAACAUCUGGCAGAAGUAUAGAGGGGAUCCUCCAGGGUACUGAAUUAUACCUUCAGGCUUGGAUUAGUAGGAUGUUUAACAAAGAGAUCUAUUUGCCAAAAGGAUCUCUGCCUGAUUUUUAAUUAUGGAACUUUAGCACUUCAACAUUUGUAAUUUAUUGAGCUUUUCUUGUUCUCUAGUAAGGUGUAGAGUACUAACUGUUCGCUUUGGGCUCUUCUGCUUUCUUUGAACUACAAUUUUUACACGGUCGUGAUUAACGCUAUGAAUUCUAUGGAUAUGAAACAUUUCAAUAGUUUUUAUUACCAAUAACAAGAUGUAUUCUCUAUAUACAAAAUGAACAUGGACU
rnacentral:lncRNA from 1 species